ensembl:snRNA U1 U1 spliceosomal RNA
AUACUUACCUGGCAGGGGAGAUACCAUGAUCAUGAAGGUGGUUUUCCCAGGGUGAGGCUUAUCCAUUGCACUCUGGAUGUGCUGACCUCUGCAAUUUCCUCAAAUGUGGACAACUCAACUGCAUAAUUUGUGGUAGUGGGGGACUGAGUUCGGGCUCUCCCCUG